GAUUUCUGGUUUAAUGCACCUGGCCCGCGGCCACUAGGCUUGUGAGUGCCGGCGCGCGUUUACCAUCCUUAGAAAACGAUUCUGCCAUUCACUUGGUUGGGAUCGCGAUCUAGAUCUUUUACUUUGAAAAAAUUAGAGUGUUUAAAGCAGGCUUUUGCUAUGAAUACAUUAGCUUGGAAUAAUAAUCUAGGACUUCGGUUCUAUUUUGUUGGUUUCUAUAACUGAAGUAAUGAUUGAUAGGGUGCUAGUAUUGGCCGGCCAGAGGUGAAAUUCUUGGAUUCGGUCAAGACUAACUUAUGCGAAAGCAUU
rnacentral:rRNA from 1 species